rnacentral:rRNA from 1 species
CCUACGGGAGGCAGCAGUGGGGAAUAUUGCUCAAUGGUCGGAACCCUGAACCAGCAAAGCCGCGUGAAGGAGGAAGGUUCUCGGUUUGUUAACUCCCUUUUUUCGAGAAGCUAAUGACGGUAUCUAACGACUAAUCACCGGCUAACUCCGUGCCAGCAGCCGCGGUAAUACGGCGGUUGCCGGCGUUAUUCGGAAGCACUGGGCGUAAAGGGCGCGUAGGCGGGAUAGCAAGUCAGAUGUGAAAUCCUAGGGGUUAACCAUAGAACCGCAGUUGAAACUGGUAGUCUAGAGUAUGAGAGAGGUAGGUGGAAUGCGUGGUGUAGGGGUGAAAUCCAUAGAUAUCGAGAAGAAUACUCAUUGCGAAGGCGGCAUGCUAGAUCCACACUGACGCUGAGGCACGAAAGCGUGGGGAGCGAACAGGAUUAGAUACCCUAGUAGUC